rnacentral:rRNA from 1 species
AUGCAAGUCGAACGCGAAAACCCCUUCGGGCUUUAGGGGUCCUACGUCCGGGUGAGUAACACGUGGGUAAUCUCUAAAGGGUGGGGAAUAACCCAGGGAAACUUGGGCUAAUACCGCAUAAUGCAGCGGCACCUAAUGGUGAUUAGUUGCUACAUAGAAAAGAAUCGCAAGACCUCGCGCCUGAAGAGGAGCCUGCGGCAGAUUAGCUAGUUGGUGAGGUAAUGGCUCACCAAGGCUGCGAUCUGUAGCUGGUCUGAGAGGACGGCCAGCCACACUGGCACUGACACACGGGCCAGACUCCUACGGGAGGCAGCAGUGGGGAAUUUUGGGCAAUGGGCGAAAGCCUGACCCAGCAACGCCGCGUGAGGGAGGAAAUC